UACGAAGGGGGCUAGCGUUGCUCGGAAUUACUGGGCGUAAAGGGCGCGUAGGCGGACAGUUUAGUCAGAGGUGAAAGCCCAGGGCUCAACCUUGGAAUUGCCUUUGAUACUGGCUGUCUUGAGUUCGGGAGAGGUGAGUGGAAUGCCGAGUGUAGAGGUGAAAUUCGUAGAUAUUCGGCGGAACACCAGUGGCGAAGGCGACUCACUGGCCCGAUACUGACGCUGAGACGCGAAAGCUAGGGGAGCGAACAGG
rnacentral:rRNA from 1 species